CUACGGGAGGCAGCAGUGGGGAAUAUUGGACAAUGGGGGAAACCCUGAUCCAGCAAUGCCGCGUGUGUGAAGAAGGCCUUAGGGUUGUAAAGCACUUUCAGUAGUGAGGAAAAGUUUAAGGUUAAUACCCUUGGACCCUGACGUUAACUACAGAAGAAGCACCGGCUAACUUCGUGCCAGCAGCCGCGGUAAUACGAAGGGUGCAAGCGUUAAUCGGAUUUACUGGGCGUAAAGCGCGCGUAGGCGGUUUGAUAAGUCGGAUGUGAAAGCCCCGGGCUCAACCUGGGAAUUGCAUUCGAUACUGUCAGGCUAGAGUAUGGUAGAGGGAAGUGGAAUUCCACAUGUAGCGGUGAAAUGCGUAGAUAUGUGGAGGAACACCAGUGGCGAAGGCGACUUCCUGGCCCAAUACUGACGCUGAGGUGCGAAAGCGUGGGGAGCAAACAGGAUUAGAUACCUCGUAGUC
rnacentral:rRNA from 1 species